UACGGAGGGUGCAAGCGUUGUCCGGAAUCAUUGGGUGUAAAGGGUGUGCAGGCGGGGCUGUACGUCAGUGGUGAAAGCCCACGGCUCAACCGUGGAAUGGCCAUUGAUACUGCAGUCCUUGAGUGCUGGAGAGGUCACUGGUAUUCGUGGUGUAGCGGUGAAAUGCGUAGAUAUCACGAGGAACACCAUUGGCGUAGGCGAGUGGCUGGACGGCAACUGACGCUGAGGCGCGAAAGCGUGGGGAUCAAACAGG
rnacentral:rRNA from 1 species